rnacentral:rRNA from 1 species
AGAGUUUGAUCCUGGCUCAGGAUGAACGCUGGCGGCGUGGAUAGGGCAUGCAAGUCAAGGGGUCCCGCAAGGGAAACCGGCAGACGAGAUAGUAUAAAGUAGGUUACGAACCUCUGAGUCAGGAAUAGCUCGUCGAAAGACGGGGUAAUACUUGAUGGUCCGAAUACUGCUCUUUGAAAAUGAUUUUUCGUUUUUAAAGAGCAGUAUUCGGUAAAGAUUUAUCGCUUAGAGAUCGGCCUGCUCGGUAUCAGCUAGUUGGUAAGGUAAUGGCUUACCAAGGCUAUGACGCCUAGGGGGAGUGAGAGCUUGGCCCCCAUCGAUGGAACUGAGACACGGUCCAUACACCUACGGGUGGCUGCAGUCGAGAAUAUUCGACAAUGGAGGAAACUCUGAUCGAGCGACGCCGCGUGGAGGAAGAAGUACUUCGGUAUGUAAACUCCUUUUGUAGACUAGUAAAUUUGAACAGUC